rnacentral:rRNA from 1 species
GUCUCGUAUUGCGUCAAUGGCAUCCCACGAUAAUGCACUGUCAAUUUUCAGUGUAUUACGGUGCACCAUGCCUGACUGAUGAACUGCGUGCUCAGAGUUACCACUUCAGCGCAUAUGACUGACCGAUAGUGAACCAGUACCGUGAGGGAAAGGCGAAAAGAACCCCGGCGAGGGGAGUGAAAAAGAACC